rnacentral:rRNA from 1 species
CGCUGGCGGCGUGCCUAAUACAUGCAAGUCGAACGGUCUUUCUAUGGAAGCUUGCUUCCACUGAGAAGAUAGUGGCGAACGGGUGGGUAACACGUGGGUAACCUGCCCAUAAGAGGGGGAUAACAUCCGGAAACGGGUGCUAAUACCGCAUAGUUUUCUUGAUCGCAUGAUCGGGAAAGGAAAGACGGCCUUUGUGCUGUCGCUUAUGGAUGGACCCGCGGCGUAUUAGUUAGUUGGUGAGGUAACGGCUCACCAAGACGAUGAUACGUAGCCGACCUGAGAGGGUGAUCGGCCACAUUGGGACUGAGACACGGCCCAAACUCCUACGGGAGGCAGCAGUAGGGAAUCUUCCGCAAUGGACGAAAGUCUGACGGAGCAACGCCGCGUGAGUGAAGAAGGUUUUCGGGAAUCGUAAAACUCUGUUGUCAGAGAAGAACAAGCUGGAGAGUAACUGCUCCAGCCUUGACGGUAUCUGACCAGAAAGCCACGGCUAACUACGUGCCAGCCGCAGC